UCUGUGAAAUAAAGUGUGUGUUAUUGCAGUGAGGAUGAGUGGGGUGAGAGCCAGACUCAGACUGAGGAGCCCCCGGUCACUGAGGAGAACCUGGAGACCAUCAGGGAGAGAGAGACCAACAUCAGACAGCUGGAGGCCAACAUCAAGGACGUGAACCAGAUCUUCAAGGACCUGGCUGUGAUGAUCCACGAUCAGGGGGAGAUGAUCGACACCAUAGAGGCCCAUGUGGAGAGUGCUGAGGUUCAUGUAGACAGGGGCACCGUCCAGCUGCAGAAGGCCUCCUAUUACAAGAGGAAGUCCCGUAAGAGGAUGUGCAUUCUGACCAUGGUGCUGUCGCUGGUGCUCAUCAUCUUCAUCAUCAUCAUCUGGCAGGCACUCAAAUAAGGAGACACACCUUCAGAUGACAUCCAGUGUGUGUAUGACCGAGAGACAGUGAGAGAGCGCUGUAUGUGUGUACAUUAGUUUAAAUAUCGCAAGACACUAAAAGCUAAAUGUUGCCCCUUUAUUCUGCCACUGUGUGACUGAAUGUGGAUGUAAUUCUUUGUUUUUUAUGUUUUGGGUAUUUUUAGGCUAA